rnacentral:rRNA from 1 species
UACGGGGGGGGCAAGCGUUGUUCGGAAUUACUGGGCGUAAAGGGCUUGUAGGCGGCCAACUAAGUCAAACGUGAAAUCCCUCGGCUUAACCGGGGAACUGCGCUUGAUACUGGAUGGCUUGAGAUUGGGAGAGGGAUGCGGAAUUCCAGGUGUAGCGGUGAAAUGCGUAGAUAUCUGGAGGAACACCGGUGGCGAAGGCGGCGUUCUGGACUGCAACUGGACACGUGAAAACGAAAGCCAGGGGAGCAAACGGG